GACGAACGCUGGCGGCGUGCUUAACACAUGCAAGUCGAACGGAAAGGCCCUGCUUUUGUGGGGUGCUCGAGUGGCGAACGGGUGAGUAACACGUGAGUAACCUGCCCUUGACUUUGGGAUAACUUCAGGAAACUGGGGCUAAUACCGGAUAGGAGCUCCUGCUGCAUGGUGGGGGUUGGAAAGUUUCGGCGGUUGGGGAUGGACUCGCGGCUUAUCAGCUUGUUGGUGGGGUAGUGGCUUACCGAGGCUUUGACGGGUAGCCGGCCUGAGAGGGUGACCGGCCACAUUGGGACUGAGAUACGGCCCAGACUCCUACGGGAGGCAGCAGUGGGGAAUAUUGCACAAUGGGCGGAAGCCUGAUGCAGCAACGCCGCGUGCGGGAUGAAGGCCUUCGGGUUGUAAACCGCUUUCGCCUGUGACGAAGCGUGAGUGACGGUAAUGGGUAAAGAAGCACCGGCUAACUACGUG
rnacentral:rRNA from 1 species